GGUUUAUGGGGGGAUCCAUGAGGGGGGAUACGGGUAUCUCAAUGGGGUACGUCAUUCGGGGAACCACCCCGGUGGGGCGGGUCCCUGGGGUCAAUUGGGGGGAUGUGGGGGGUCUAUGGGGUAUAUGGGGGGGGAUAUUGGGCUGGGGGGGGCUCUAUGGGGCACGGACAGCAUGGGGUUGGGGGGGGGCCUAUGGGGAGCCCCUAUGGGGUGAGGGGGAACAUAUGGGAUCUAUGGCGCCCCUAUGGGGGGAUAUAUGGGAUAUACGGGAUCUAUGGGGUCCCUAUUGGGGGAUAUAUGGGAUCUAUGGGGUCCCUAUGGGGCGAUAUACGGGAUCUAUGGGGUCCCUAAGGGGUGUGGGGGGUCUGUGGGGUCCCUAUGGGGUGAUAUAUGGGAACUAUGGGUCCCUAUGGGGUUACGUGGGAUCUAUGGGGUCCCUAUGGGGGGAUAUAUGGGAUCUAUGGGAUCCCUAUGGGGGGAUAUAUGGGAUCUAUGGGUCCCUAUGGGGUUACGUGGGAUCUAUGGGGUCCCUAUGGGGGGAUAUAUGGGGUCUAUGGGGUCCCUAUGGGCUGAGGGGGGAUCAAUGGCGGCCCCCAUCCCGCUCCGGUACCUGCACCACGCAUGCGCCGCCCCCCGAUCACGCGCUUCUGACACGCGUAAAGCGCGUGCGCAUCUCGGUCACGUGCUUCCGGUACGCGAGCCGUCUGAUCACGUGGCUUCGUGAGAGAGUGACGGGUACAGAAGGGGCGGGGCCAGAGCUCCUGCUCCGCGCUGAUUGGUGGGAGGAGGAGCCAAUCAGAGGGCAGGGGAAGGAGAAGGGCGGAGAUGAAUGGGGCGGAGAAUUAAUGAAUGGGGCGGGGCUGAAUGAACGGGGCGGGAUAUGAAUAGGGCGGGGCAUUAAUGAAUGGGGCGCUGGAAGCUUCGUGGCGCUGUGUGGGGCUGAGGGCUGAAUGGGGCCGCCCCAAUGAAUGGGGACCCCCCUCCCCAUGAUUAGAAUGGGCGCGGGGGGGCAAGCAAUAAUAUCUGCCCAUGUUCUACGUGUGAAGCCCCACAACUGUGGUGCCCCCACAACUGCUGCCUACCCACUGCCCCAGCCCCACUGCACUUUUUUGUGCCCCCCCCCCCCC
rnacentral:lncRNA from 1 species